rnacentral:misc_RNA from 1 species
GAUGAAGAACGCAGCGAAAUGCGAUAAGUAGUGUGAAUUGCAGAAUUUAGUGAAUCAUCGAAUCUUUGAACGCACAUUGCGCCCUAUAGUAUUCUGUAGGGCAUGCCUGUUCGAGCGUUAUUGAGACCUCAAGCUCUGCUUGGAAAUGGGCGCUUGUCUUGCCUUGCAGACUCGCCUUAAAACCAUUGGCAGCUGAUUUACAAUGUUUGGUGCACAGUACAUGAGCCCAAGUGUUGCAAUGAGUGGCCCAAAAGUAUACAAUAGAAGCUUAACCUCGGAUCAGGUAGGGAUACCCGCUGAACUUAAGCAAAUCAAUAGCGGAGGA